rnacentral:tRNA from 1 species
UCCUCGUUAGUACAGUGGCUAGUAUCCCCGCCUGUCACGCGGGAGACCGGGGUUCGAUUUCCCGACGGGGAG